rnacentral:lncRNA from 10 species
GCUUCCUCCCAGUCAGUGCAAUAUCCAGCAGUCUCUUUUCCUCCCCAGCACCUCCUACCUGUGUCUCCAACGCAGCACUUUCCCAUGGUCCUCCAGCCCCCUCCCUCACCACAGGGAUUUGUGCAACAGCCUCCGCCUGCACAGAUGCCUGUAUAUUAUUACCCAUCUGGUCAGUACCCUACCUCAACCACGCAACAGUACCGGCCCAUGGCCCCGGUUCAGUACAACGCUCAGAGGAGUCAACAGAUGCCACAGGCAGCACAGCAAGCAGUUGCAGUGACAGGUGGAUUUCUACAGACUGAAUCUGUGGCCAUAGUACUUAUUUCAAGAUAAUUGGCCAAGGCUAGGUUACAUCCUGUAGCCAUGCAACAGUGACAGUAAUUUGAUCACAAUAAUGCUGACCCCAUGACUUUUGACUUCAUAAUUAUCUUGCUGUAGUCAGCUGGCCAACAGCACUUCAUCAAUGAAAAUAUCCACCAGGAGGAAUAUUAUCAUGGGGACAGUUAUUAGAGCCACCUCCAUUUUGACUUUGCCCCAAGCUUGGUCUGGGGAAAAAGCUUCUUAAAGUUGCCUCAGCAGUAGUUUGCUGCCUCCCAGCCUGGUUUUAAGUAUAUCCAUAAUUAACACGACGGGUAGAGGUGCAAGAA